GGCAGGAAGCAGCUGGAGAGGAGGAGGAGCAGCAGCAGGAGCAGGAGCUGCCCUGCUUUCUGCCUCAGUCUCAAAGCCCAGAAUCGAUUGAGUUAGAAUUCCACAUCCAGUUGAAGUUUGGCUGCUGUUGCCUUCAGCAGGCUGAUCUCAGAAUCCCCCUUGCCAGACAGGUGUGGACCAGAUUAGAUUUCUACGUUUGCAGCCAGUGAGAGUCCUGCCGAGCCCUUCACUGAGGGGUUUUUUUGCAGGGCAUUGUUUCUGUCAUCAACUUUGUACCGUGGAGCCAGCCAGCUGGGUGCAACUGAGAAUAAUAGCUCCUUGGCUCUGUUUGUCGGUUGGGCAAGCAGUGGUGCUUUGGCUCAGAAAGUUCGUCCUGUGGCUUCUCUGUCAAACCAAGGAGUGCUGCUCCUGGAUGGAUUUCCUCUUAAAGACAGCAUUUGCAUUCUAAAACUUGAGAAUUCAUGGUUUUAAUUUUUUUUUUUUUAAUUUCCUUAACCCUUAUUUUGGUUGCAGCAGCAAGAUUCCAGAUGAUGGUGACCCCUCUCUGCCUCAGUGGCUCCCGGAAGGGCCAGCCGGAGGGCUCUAUGGCAUUGACAGCAUGCCAGAUUUACGCAGAAAGAAGCCACUGCCACUUGUCAGUGAUCUGUCACUGGUCCAGUCUCGGAAGGCAGGAAUCACUUCUGCAAUGGCUACACGCACUUCUCUUAAGGACGAAGAGCUGAAAUCCCAUGUGUAUAAGAAAACCCUGCAGGCCUUAAUCUACCCUAUUUCGUGCACCACUCCUCAUAACUUUGAGGUCUGGACGGCCACUACCCCAACCUACUGCUAUGAGUGUGAAGGCCUGCUCUGGGGCAUUGCCCGGCAAGGCAUGCGCUGCAGCGAAUGUGGAGUCAAGUGCCAUGAGAAGUGCCAGGAUCUGCUCAAUGCUGACUGCCUGCAGCGGGCUGCAGAAAAGAGCUGUAAACAUGGAGCUGAGGACCGGACCCAGAACAUUAUCAUGGCCAUGAAGGACCGCAUGAAGAUCCGAGAGCGAAAUAAGCCAGAGAUCUUUGAAGUUAUCCGGGACGUCUUCACAGUGAACAAAGCUGCCCACGUGCAGCAGAUGAAAACAGUGAAGCAGAGUGUACUGGAUGGCACCUCCAAAUGGUCGGCCAAGAUCACCAUUACUGUGGUGUGUGCCCAGGGCCUACAAGCCAAGGACAAAACAGGAUCCAGUGACCCUUACGUGACUGUGCAAGUCAGCAAGACUAAGAAGCGUACCAAGACCAUUUUUGGAAACUUGAAUCCUGUUUGGGAGGAAAAGUUCCAUUUUGAGUGCCACAACUCCUCUGACCGCAUUAAGGUGCGUGUGUGGGAUGAGGAUGAUGACAUCAAGUCAAGAGUAAAGCAACGCCUAAAGCGAGAGUCCGAUGAUUUCCUUGGCCAAACCAUCAUUGAGGUUCGGACCCUAAGUGGCGAGAUGGACGUCUGGUACAACUUGGAGAAGAGGACAGACAAAUCCGCCGUCUCAGGGGCUAUCCGACUACAAAUCAGUGUGGAGAUCAAGGGGGAGGAGAAAGUAGCCCCAUAUCACGUGCAGUACACGUGCCUCCAUGAGAAUCUUUUCCAUUACCUCACAGACAUUCAGGGCAGUGGAGGAGUCCGCAUCCCUGAAGCUCGAGGAGACGAUGCCUGGAAGGUGUACUUUGAUGAGACAGCCCAAGAAAUUGUGGAUGAAUUUGCCAUGCGUUAUGGCAUUGAGUCCAUAUAUCAGGCCAUGACGCACUUUGCAUGUUUAUCAUCCAAGUACAUGUGUCCUGGUGUGCCAGCAGUGAUGAGCACCUUACUGGCCAACAUCAAUGCCUACUAUGCCCACACAACUGCCUCUACCAAUGUCUCUGCAUGUGAUCGCUUUGCAGCCUCCAACUUUGGGAAAGAGAGAUUUGUAAAACUGCUGGACCAGCUACACAACUCACUGAGGAUCGACCUCUCUACAUACAGGAAUAAUUUCCCUGCUGGGAGUCCUGAACGGCUUCAGGACUUAAAAUCCACAGUGGAUUUGCUGACCAGCAUUACUUUCUUCAGAAUGAAGGUACAAGAACUGCAAAGCCCUCCAAGAGCCAGCCAGGUGGUAAAGGAUUGUGUGAAGGCCUGUUUGAACUCCACAUAUGAAUAUAUCUUCAACAACUGCCACGACUUAUACAGCCGCCAGUACCAGCUGAAGCAAGAGCUACCUCCAGAGGAACAAGGGCCCAGCAUUCGGAACCUGGAUUUCUGGCCCAAGCUCAUCACACUCAUCGUGUCAAUCAUAGAGGAAGAUAAGAAUUCCUACACACCUGUUCUGAACCAGUUUCCUCAGGAGUUGAAUGUGGGAAAAGUCAGCGCAGAGGUGAUGUGGCAUCUGUUUGCCCAAGACAUGAAAUAUGCAUUGGAGGAGCAUGAGAAAGACCACCUGUGUAAAAGUGCUGACUACAUGAACCUGCACUUCAAGGUGAAAUGGCUCCACAAUGAAUACAUGCGGGAUCUGCCUGUCCUCCAGGGGCAGGUGCCUGAGUACCCAGCGUGGUUUGAGCAGUUUGUGCUACAAUGGCUGGAUGAGAAUGAGGAUGUAUCCCUGGAAUUCCUGCGUGGGGCCCUGGAACGAGAUAAGAAGGAUGGAUUCCAGCAGACAUCAGAGCAUGCACUCUUUUCCUGCUCUGUGGUGGAUGUCUUCACACAACUCAAUCAGAGCUUUGAGAUCAUCCGGAAGCUGGAAUGCCCAGACCCCAGCAUCCUUGCCCACUACAUGAGGAGGUUUGCUAAGACCAUUGGGAAGCUGCUGAUGCAGUAUGCAGACAUCUUGUCAAAGGACUUCCCAGCCUAUUGCACAAAGGAGAAACUGCCCUGCAUCCUGAUGAACAACAUGCAGCAACUGAGGGUCCAGCUGGAGAAAAUGUUUGAGGCCAUGGGAGGCAAGGAGCUGGACCUUGAAGCUGCAGACAGUCUGAAGGAGCUGCAGGUGAAACUGAAUACAGUUCUGGAUGAGCUCAGCAUGGUGUUUGGAAACAGUUUCCAGGUACGGAUUGAUGAGUGUGUUCGACAAAUGGCCGACAUCCUGGGCCAGGUUCGGGGCACAGGGAAUGCAUCUCCAGACGCCAGGGCCUCAGCGGCUCAGGAUGCAGAUAGCGUACUCCGGCCUCUCAUGGACUUCCUGGAUGGCAACCUCACCCUCUUUGCCACUGUGUGUGAGAAGACGGUUCUGAAGCGUGUACUGAAGGAGCUCUGGCGCGUGGUGAUGAACACAAUGGAGAGGAUGAUCGUUCUGCCCCCAUUCACUGACCAGACGGGCACCCAGCUGAUCUUCACUGCUGCCAAGGAGCUGAGCCAUCUUUCCAAACUCAAGGAUCACAUGGUGCGAGAGGAAACACGGAAUCUCACUCCAAAGCAGUGUGCAGUCCUUGACCUCGCCCUGGACACCAUCAAGCAAUACUUCCAUGCAGGAGGCAAUGGGCUGAAGAAAACCUUCCUGGAGAAGAGCCCAGAUCUGCAGUCUCUACGCUAUGCCCUGUCUCUAUACACACAGACUACUGACACUCUCAUCAAGACCUUUGUGCGCUCACAGACCACCCAAGGGUGUGGUGUGGACGAUCCUGUGGGAGAAGUCUCUAUUCAGGUGGACUUGUUUACACACCCUGGUACUGGGGAGCACAAGGUCACAGUGAAAGUGGUGGCUGCCAAUGACCUCAAGUGGCAGACAGCGGGUAUGUUCCGGCCUUUCGUGGAGGUGACCAUGGUUGGCCCACACCAAAGUGAUAAGAAGAGGAAGUUCACAACCAAAUCCAAAAGCAACAACUGGGCCCCCAAGUACAAUGAGACAUUCCACUUCCUCCUGGGAAAUGAAGAGGGGCCCGAGUCCUAUGAGUUGCAGAUAUGCGUGAAGGAUUACUGCUUUGCCCGGGAAGAUCGCGUGCUAGGGCUGGCUGUGAUGCCUCUGAGGGAUGUCACAGCCAAGGGCAGCUGUGCCUGCUGGUGCCCCUUGGGCCGGAAGAUCCACAUGGAUGAGACAGGCCUGACCAUUCUCCGGAUUUUGUCUCAGAGGAGCAAUGACGAGGUGGCCCGAGAAUUUGUGAAACUCAAAUCAGAGUCUCGUUCCACAGAGGAGGGGAGCUGAACACCUUCGACUCCUGUGCCAGUCAGGCAGCAGCAAUUUCACAAAUCAGGGCCAGUGGGAGUUAGCUGUGUAACCGGCUUAGGGUCUUUGCAGUCAAGAGGCUGACCCCUUCAGUUAAAGAUAUUUAAGGAAAAAUUUGGGGUGGUGAUAAUAUGGCUUUUCACAGAAAGGGUCAUGAAGCCGUGACCCAGCAGGACUGUGGUACUAGGGGCUGGGAUGUGGGGUUACCACAUGGAGAGAUUUUCCAUAAAGAGAGAAGGAUAAACAUUUCUGAGAGUGUCAGCCAUUCUUGGUAGACACCUCUCUACUCCUCAUCCCACCUCUACCCAUCUCCAUGCCACACCUUAUCCAGUUAGAAACAUACAUACCAGUCAUUAGAAGAACAAGUUUAGAGGGUAUGGAACUUGUACCUGGCUGGCUGGGUAGUCAGUUGAGCCUGUUGCUGAGCACUGUGGUCUGGAUUGGAGUAUGGCCAGGGCAGGAGUACACAGAAUAGAAUUUAGACUGUCCCUUGAGUAGAAUCCACUGAUUUUCUGUGGCUCCAGUGAGAACACGGCUUUGAAACUGAACAAGAUACCUUCUAGAAAUGAACUGUGCUAAUCCCUUCCUCCAGAUUGUAUCAUGAGUAGAAUCAGGUUCACGUGGUGCUUCAAAGCCCUGAGAAGAAUAUUUCUUUGGACCCCAGGCACUAGGGGCCACCUGCCUGGGAGUCUCCCUGCCUCACUCCUCUAGGCAGGGGAGUGAUGCUUCAGGACGUGACAGGCUGUUCUAACAUGUGUCUACCUGAGGGCUAGUUGAAGGAUCCAGGAGUAUUUUCUUCUUCUUGGGUGGGCCCUGAACAAAGCCAAAAAUUGUAGAAACCAGUCUAGAAAAAGUCCUGCUCAUCUGUGGCCACUGCCUUCUAGCCAUCCUCCACCUCGCAGAAAGAAUCUAGCCUUUGGUCUCUCUCUCUCUCUCUCAUCUGGGUCAUUUGCUAUUCCCCUCAGAUAUUCAACCCUAUAGAAGGAGCCUGGACUCUGACCCCUCUGUACAUGGCUGGAUGGAAGGGGCCCUCAACACUCCCUGGGAGGUCAGAGACAAACUGUUUCAGAGAGUCAGAUGGACUUCCCAAGACUUGUUGAGAGAUGUGACAUGGUUCUUGGAUUUCCUCUGUAGCAGCCUCCUGGACUUCCUGAGGACUCAACAUUGUCCACAGAUGUACUGGCCAUUACAUGAAACA
rnacentral:sRNA from 1 species